AGUGGGGUGAAGAAGAAAGACCAGACAAAGGCUCUUAACCAGGCCAACCACUCACCAAGGCAAGCACAGGAGACUCCUGGGAAAAUUGCAGGUCCUGAGGAUGCCUUGUUUCAAUAGUCUGAUGAUGGAAGGCGGAGACUUAUGUCUUUCUUUAGAAUAUCCUCGUUCCUGUCAGGUUUGUGCUUCAUUUGCCUGCCUGGUGUCUGCAGAGGACAUUGGAUCCCAUGAAACGGAAUUAUUGGUUGUGAGCCCCCAUUAGGUUGUGGGAAUUGAACCCAGGUCCUCUGGAAGAGCAAGCAGUGCUCUUAACCACUGAGCCAUCUCUCUAAACCCUAUACUAGUUUUCA